CCCAAUGUGCUGGGAUUGCAGUCAUGAGCCACUGUGCCCAGCCCACUUUCACUAUUGAGAAGAAAGGAAGAACCAGAGAAUGAAAACCAGUGCAUCGGGAGACCUGAAGACGAGCAUGUCGGCUCCCUGCUCUCGUGGAGCCUCUAUGGGUCAGGUUUUGCAAUUAUCCACAAUAACCAGCCUUGAGUAUCCAUGACGCUUCACCCCAGGAGAACUCAUGCCUCUGCCUGUGGAAGGACACAGAGGACCUCAGUGGGGAUGGAAGAAGGGCCUUCUCCUUGUCACCAGCUCCCAGGACUGAAUACUGACUGCUGUCUUGGGGAGAAGGGACUGGAUGGUGCUUUGGACCUCACUAGCCCCCAUCUGGAUCUUUAUGGCUGGGCCCAUAGAGCACGACCAUGACAUCUGGAGACAGCUGUGCUAAUGCCCUUCAGACAAAGACCACCAGGAACCCCCUGUAACUGAACCAGUUGGGUUUAUGACUCUUCUCGGCAAAGAAGCACGCACACCGUGGGGGACUGCGGGGCCGCUCAGUGAAAGGAGAUUGGAAAGGAGUUACAGGAUUUGGGCUUUGCUGGGUGAAUCUGGCGUACACUGAUGUCCGGAGACAGCGGAAACAGCCAUGUCUAUCACAGAAGCCCAAGGUCACACAACCGUGACCCACCUGCCCGGGGGCGAGGCUGAGCCAGUGCAGAUAGCCGGAUGCUCCUCACAGGUCCGCAGGAAGGACAGGGGCCGGCGCUGCCCAGGCUGUGCCACGUCCAGUGCGUGAGAAGCUCCCGCUUGAGUCACCACGUCUGUCCCGACAGAGGUACGACCUCCUCCUUUCCCUGACACAGGGAGUAUGGGAGGCAAAGCCAUACUCGUGGGAGAACUCUCCAAGUCCACAGUGAGCAGGACGCAGAUUCUCCCCGUAUUUCCACCAGAUUCACCCUCCAUUUCCACCAGACUCGCCCUUCUUUCCCAACCAACCACCCUCCAUCCCCACCCUUCACACCCACUCACCCCCAUUCCCACCCACUUACCCCCCAUCCUCACCCUCUCACCCUCCAUCCCCCCGCACUCACUCUUGUCCCAUCCACUCACCCCGCAUCCCCCACCCCCACUAGGUCCUUUCCAGCCUCCCCCGCCAUAAAACUGUGCGCCCUGAAAGAUCGCUCCUCGCCUCAGGGACUCCUCCCUCCACUCGUGCGCCGUGGCUGCCCUGACUUGGUGCCGCGGAGAUCCAUCCUCAAGCAAACACCAGGGAACUUGUGGGCCGUUCUCCUGGGCUGCAGUCUUCUCCUGUCUCUGUCUCCUCCUCUGAUGCCUCUUCCUCAGGAGGUGGCCGUCACCCACAGCUUCACAAUGGCAUUUCCCCUCAGAGCACUGAUCCUCCGUCUGCUGCGGCAGCUACCAGGUCGCCUCUCUUCAUUUUUUAAGUCCACGUCACCCCCCUCUUGUCCCGUGCAGGUACCCCUCUUAUGCCCUACACCACAGACUGCACUGCACCGCUGUCUCCACCAAAAGCAGGGAACCUCUGCUAUCCAGGACCUGUGGAAAAUUAGGCUCGAUUUCAAUGAAUGUUUCCAUACCGAUUAUAAGCUCCUUAGGGCAGGAAAUUUUGUUCAACUCUCUGUCCCCUUGAGACCCUGCUUGAUAAAUGGCUCAUGGCAAGCACUCUUACCGUGGAAUUCGAUUUCCAGGCUUUUCUGAAUGACUCAGGAUUUUACCUCCAGAAGCAAAGCUUCUGAACACCCAUUUUGUAGGCCGGUCUUUGUGGAAACAUUUUCACUCCCUCCCCUGUCCUCUGUAGCGGAGAACUCUGACAUCUCAGAACAUGGCCGCUUCUCUCUUUCCUGCUCAGAGGAGCUGUUUACAAAGUGUGGGGUAGAGUUAGGAAACCCAGGAGGAAUGGCAGAGCGCUCCGCCUGCAUCCCUGAGGGCGGGCGUGGGGCUGCUGUCGACCCCCAGAGAGAGUGCUCGCCGCCCUUGGUCCCCCGGGUCUGGGCGGUGCUGUUGGUAAGGACUGCAGCCAACCCCCAGGGACCUGGCAGGAGAAGAUACCUGCCCUGCCCUUCUGCUAGGGCCACCAGCAUCGGCCAGACCUAACCAAAGACGUGGAGUCUCCAGGCAGUCUAUAAAAACCAGCUCCCAUGGCCCGGGGCAGGGCAAAGAGUCAGUCUGGAGGGGAGAACUGAAGACAACUGGCACUGCUACCGUGCUGAGAUGCCUCGGGGACUUGUCUUACUCGCCGCCAAGCACUUGGCCCCUGCACCAAAUGGCCCCCAAACUGUGGCCUUUUAAAAUUUGUGUGUCCACUUCUCACAGUUUCCUCUCUCUUCAUGCAUAUGAAAAUAAAACUAUUUUAUGUAUCUAGGACUUGGA